AACCAUUCUCACCUGCGGCUAGACCUGCGGAAGGAUCAUUACAGAGUUCGUGCCCUCGCGGGUAGAUCUCCCACCCUUGUGUAUUCCUUACAUUUUGUUGCUUUGGCAGGCCGUUGGUUCGCCAACCACCGGCUCUACGGGCUGGUGCGUGCCUGCCAGAGGACCCCCCAAACUCGGUUUGUUAGUGUCGUCUGAGUAACCAUAACAAUCGUUAAAACUUUCAACAACGGAUCUCAGAUC
rnacentral:misc_RNA from 1 species